rnacentral:rRNA from 1 species
UACGUAGGGUGCGAGCGUUGUCCGGAAUUAUUGGGCGUAAAGAGCUCGUAGGCGGCUUGUCGCGUCGGAUGUGAAAGCCCGGGGCUUAACUCCGGGUCUGCAUUCGAUACGGGCAGGCUAGAGUUCGGUAGGGGAGAUCGGAAUUCCUGGUGUAGCGGUGAAAUGCGCAGAUAUCAGGAGGAACACCUGAGGUGAAGACGGGUUGCUGGGCCGACACUGACGCUGAAGCGCGAAAGCCAGGGGAGCAAACGGG